GUGUAUGUCAUGUGUUGUUGUAUUUACCUGAUUCUAAGACCUGCUAAGAAUAUGAUGUCCUGAUAUGUCAAACCACAGAAUUUAAAAAGGUGUACUUUCUUAUCCCUAGGACUGUACACAAUUCCAGCUUAGAAAGACUGCAAUGUUAUUGUCUUUCCUGGGAAGAUAAAUUGCUGAAAGACUUUCCAGAUUCGAUUGGGUCCAGAAUAUAACUAGCUUUGUUUACUGCAUAAGUUUCUUGUUCC